rnacentral:rRNA from 1 species
GACGAACGCUGGCGGCGUGCUUAACACAUGCAAGUCGAACGAAGUGGCGAACGGGGGAGUAAUACGUGGGUACCCUGCCCUCCUUUUUGGGAUAAGCCUUGGAAACGGGGUCUAAUACCGAAUAAAGGGGGGUGGGCUCGCGGCCUAUCAGCUUGUUGGGGGGGUGAUGGCCUACCAAGGCGGUGACGGGUAGCCGGCCUGGGGGGGUGAACGGCCACAGUCGGACGUAGAUACGGCCCAGAGUCCUACGGGAGGCAGCAGUGGGGGAUAUUGCGCAAUGGGCGAAAGCCUGAGGCAGCGACGCCGCGUGGGGGAUGAAGGAUUACGGGUUUUAAACCUCUUUCGCUCUCGAACGGGUAGGUGGAGAAGAAGCGCCGGCUAACUACGUGCCAGCAGCCGCGGUAAUAC